GUGCAGGGAGUAGCUUAGCUCGACGACGUUGCAGAUUUCUAUUUUGGGCAUGGAGAUUCAUCUCCCUCUUCCCUGUUUCAUGAUGCUGCUCUAAGUAUGUGUGAGGUUUGAGCUUCGAUUCCCUUUCCUUCUUAAUGCCAGAUUCUUCUUCUCCUCUUUGGACUUGCCAUUGCUGGUUUGAUUGGGGGGGUUGUUGGUUCUUUCUCCCCUCUUCGGUUGCAUUGGUAGCACCGAAAUCCUCCUCUAUCCUCUUUGUUGACAUCAUUCGUGGCUGGAAUGUGGAGCUCAUUCUCCUUUCUUCUUCCGUGGUUAUCUUGUGUGAAGUCUUGAUCCAGAAACUUUGUCCUCCAUUGUUCCAUCCGUUCUCCCUCCAUCAUUCACACUCCUUGCUGUCGCUGGUGACCGUGGGUGUGCCAGAAUCCUCCUCUCCUCUCAUAUUUCCUCCCCUGUUUUUCCUCUGAUUUGUGCAACAGCCUCUUUGUCUUGGUUCAACGUUGCCAUCGCACUCGUGUUAGUGAUCGUGGGUGCGUUGAUUUCUUCCUCCAUUUUCAGUCAGCCAGCUUUUCUCCAUGCUUCUGGCAACGUGAAUCUGAGGUGAGGAUGUUCAAGUUCUUCUCCUCGUUGCUGAUUCUGUGAGUGUGUGUUUUGGUAGUUGUGGCUGUGAUUCUCUUCCUUUCUUGAUGCUACCACUUAUGAAUGUGUACAGAGGAUUUGAGCAAACUAAAAUUAAGGCUUAAGAGAACGUUUCCAUUAAAUAAUUUAGGUAUGAUUGUUUUAGAUUGCUGUUGACAGAGAUGAACAUGGAUUCAGUUCUUCUUUAUGAGGCUGAGAAAUCUUGGUUAAUUGAAGUAUUAAUAAGGGAAAUUGCUGGGAAAAAGUUUUUUUUAAAAAAAAGAAGAAGAAGAAGCAGCUUGAUGAUAUAGUGCGAAUGUUGAUGCUCACAUGGUGUUUGUUUUAAAUGUGUGGAAGAGUUGGAAUGGAGUAGUUAAAUAUGUUCUAUGUAUUAAAGACCAGAAUUUAAAUUUAAUAUUAUGAUUGGCUCUUAUGCUAAAUCAUAUUUUUCUAUGAAAUUGAAUUUUGGAAAAACAUACAAAGAACAUGUUGAUGCUUGAGAGUUGUAUUGUUGGCAAUGUAUAAAUUAUGGUACUUGUGUGACUCGAUUUUGGAAAGAGUGUAAGGCGUUUGAUGAAACAUGGGAGAGGGAAAUUUUUUAUUCAAUUGAUUACCUAAGUGUGGGCGAUGAAGUUUUUAUGUUGCAACUUAGGAUUAAGAAGCUUGCUUAUAUAUAGUUAUUGGAAAGUGAUAUAGGAUCUAUGAAGUUCAUUCAAUUUAUUUAUUUAUUUUUGACCUGUAGCUUAUUUUAUUCAUUUAAAACUUCAAAUAUGUUAAAUAAAAUGCUAUGGCUUCAAGUUAUGAUGUUGUGCAAAGGGCACAUAUGUAAAUAAAAGAGUUUAGUAAUGGUAUUGUUUAGUUAAAGUGUGUGUUAGUGAAUUAUUAUAAAUUUGUGGGUUAGAAAGAAAUGUGGAGGAAAUGAAUGUAUUUGGAUAUAAAACUAAGAGAUUAAUGUUCAAAAGCAAGGGGAAAAACACUACAAUAAUUAAGUUCGUGAGCUAUUAUGAGUUUGACAAAAUUUUAGGGGUUCAAUUAUCAUUAUAUUGAAAUGUUUUAGGAAUAAACCUUGUUGUGAAGAGCGUUAAGAUUAAAUUACAUUGUUGGGACUUGGGAUUGCCUUACGUAAGUGGAUAACAUCCCAACUAGCUCAUUUACACUUUUCUUUUUCUAAACAUUGGUUGAUUGUUUCUUUGUGUGUAAUUUUAUUGCUAUGUUUUAAUUCCAAUGUAUCAAUUAUUAUUAUCGGGAAUGUUUUCAUUAUACUAUUCAGUUUUUAAGAAGAGAGAUGAGUAUUAGUUGAUUGAGCACUCUUAUUUAUUGGGUUUAUUUAUAAUGAUUAUCCUCUAAUUUGAGGAAUGAUUAAUCAAUCUAAAUCAUGCAAGGGAAAAAUACCAACAAAUUUAUUUAUGCAAAUGCAUGUCAGAAAGAAAUGGUAUUUUGAUGAUAUAUGGACUCAUGCAUGUCAUGGUUAAAUUCUGGCUAGCUUGUUAUUUGGGAGCUUAGUACUCAUAAUUAUUUGUGGGUUUUAUGCCUGUGCUUGUUUUGUGGCUCUUGUCGCCCUUGUUUCGUGGCUUCUGGAUGCGCUUAGUUAUUUACCCUCAUGGACUAUGUGUCCACGCUUGUUAGUUAUUUAACUUCGUGGAAUGUGUUUUCACUUUUGUUGGUUAUUUACCCUCGUGGACUGUGUCUACGCUUGUUUAGUUAUUUACUUUUGUAGAUCGUGUGUCCACGCUUAUUAUUUGUUCAAAUCAAGUCCUGCUAAAUAAUAUGUUUUGAAAUUUAUUGCCUUUAAAUUGAUUUUGUGAAAUAGGCAGUUCUCUUUCAUCAUGUAUGGAUUUCCUAU